AUUGAACGCUGGCGGCAGGCCUAACACAUGCAAGUCGAGCGGUAGAGAGAAGCUUGCUUCUCUUGAGAGCGGCGGACGGGUGAGUAAUGCCUAGGAAUCUGCCUGGUAGUGGGGGAUAACGUCCGGAAACGGACGCUAAUACCGCAUACGUCCUACGGGAGAAAGCAGGGGACCUUCGGGCCUUGCGCUAUCAGAUGAGCCUAGGUCGGAUUAGCUAGUUGGUGGGGUAAUGGCUCACCAAGGCGACGAUCCGUAACUGGUCUGAGAGGAUGAUCAGUCACACUGGAACUGAGACACGGUCCAGACUCCUACGGGAGGCAGCAGUGGGGAAUAUUGGACAAUGGGCGAAAGCCUGAUCCAGCCAUGCCGCGUGUGUGAAGAAGGUCUUCGGAUUGUAAAGCACUUUAAGUUGGGAGGAAGGGCAGUAAAUUAAUACUUUGCUGUUUUGACGUUACCGACAGAAUAAGCACCGGCUAACUCUGUGC
rnacentral:rRNA from 1 species